GGAUUUAGCUCACUGGUAGAGUGCAUGCUUAACAUGCACAAGGUCCUGGGUUCAAUCCUCAGUACAUCCA
rnacentral:tRNA from 1 species